rnacentral:rRNA from 1 species
GAUGAACGCUGGCGGCGUGCCUAAUACAUGCAAGUCGAGCGAACAGAUGAGGAGCUUGCUCCUCUGACGUUAGCGGCGGACGGGUGAGUAACACGUGGAUAACCUACCUAUAAGACUGGGAUAACUCCGGGAAACCGGAGCUAAUACCGGAUAAUAUAUUGAACCGCAUGGUUCAAUAGUGAAAGACGGUUUUGCUGUCACUUAUAGAUGGAUCCGCGCCGCAUUAGCUAGUUGGUAAGGUAACGGCUUACCAAGGCAACGAUGCGUAGCCGACCUGAGAGGGUGAUCGGCCACACUGGAACUGAGACACGGUCCAGACUCCUACGGGAGGCAGCAGUAGGGAAUCUUCUGCAAUGGGCGAAAGCCUGACGGAGCAACGCCGCGUGAGUGAUGAAGGUCUUCGGAUCGUAAAACUCUGUUAUUAGGGAAGAACAAAUGUGUAAGUAACUAUGCACGUCUUGACGGUACCUAAUCAGAAAGCCACGGCUAACUACGUG